rnacentral:rRNA from 1 species
GAUGAACGCUGGCGGCGUGCUUAACACAUGCAAGUCGAACGAAGCACUUUAUUUGAUUUCCUUCGGGACUGAUUAUUUUGUGACUGAGUGGCGGACGGGUGAGUAACGCGUGGGUAACCUGCCUUGUACAGGGGGAUAACAGUUGGAAACGGCUGCUAAUACCGCAUAAGCGCACGGCAUCGCACGAUGCAGUGUGAAAAACUCCGGUGGUAUAAGAUGGACCCGCGUUGGAUUAGCUAGUUGGUGAGGUAACGGCCCACCAAGGCGACGAUCCAUAGCCGACCUGAGAGGGUGACCGGCCACAGUGGGACUGAGACACGGCCCAAACUCCUACGGGAGGCAGCAGUGGGGAAUAUUGCACAAUGGGCGAAAGCCUGAUGCAGCGACGCCGCGUGAGCGAAGAAGUAUUUCGGUAUGUAAAGCUCUAUCAGCAGGGAAGAUAAUGACGGUACCUGACUAAGAAGCACCGGCUAAAUACGUG